rnacentral:rRNA from 1 species
CGAGUCAUUGUAGUAAUACAAGGCAGACGGCUCAGUAACGCGUAGUCAACCUAACCUAUGGACGGGAAUAACCUCGGGAAACUGAGUAUAAUGCCCGAUAGAACAUUAUGCCUGGAAUGGUUUAUGUUUCAAAUGAUUUAUCGCCGUAAGAUGGGACUGCGGCCUAUCAGUUUGUUGGUGAGGUAAUGGCCCACCAAGACUAUUACAGGUACGGGCUCUGAGAGGAGUAGCCCGGAGAUGGGUACUGAGACACGGACCCAGGCCCUAUGGGGCGCAGCAGGCGAGAAAACUUUGCAAUGUGCGAAAGCACGACAAGGUUAAUCCGAGUGGUUUCUGCUAAAGGAACCUUUUGUUAGUCCUAUAAACACUAACGAAUAAGGGGUGGGCAAGUUCUGGUGUCAGCCGCCGCGGUAAAACCAGCACCUCAAGUGGUCAGGAUGAUUAUUGGGCCUAAAGCAUCCGUAGCCGGCUCUGUAAGUUUUCGGUUAAAUCUGUACGCUCAACGUAC